GGCAUGGUGGGUUAGUGGUUAGCACUGUUGCCUCACAACUCCAGGUCGGGGGUUCGAAUCCCACCCCCAGCCC